rnacentral:rRNA from 1 species
UACGAAGGGGGCUAGCGUUGCUCGGAAUCACUGGGCGUAAAGCGCACGUAGGCGGAUUGUUAAGUCAGGGGUGAAAUCCUGGAGCUCAACUCCAGAACUGCCUUUGAUACUGGCGAUCUCGAGUCCGGGAGAAGUGAGUGGAACUGCGAGUGUAGAGGUGAAAUUCGUAGAUAUUCGCAAGAACACCAGUGGCGAAGGCGGCUCACUGGCCCGGUACUGACGCUGAGGUGCGAAAGCGUGGGGAGCAAACAGG